rnacentral:tRNA from 1 species
UGGUUAUUAAUCAAUAAAUUUUGACUUUAUUAUUCUAGAGUUUCUAGGUAACCAA